UCUGGUCAUACGCUCUGGAAAGGAAGGCUGCAAAUGUGCUGGCAAAAGCAACCGUACGGUCACGGGUGGCACAGCCAAUGGCAACCCCCACCUGCAGCAGAUGCAUUAAAAAAAAAAUUUGCAAAUGUGCUUCAGAAGUCAUUCACGUAGUUGUACACAGUGUCCACUAGGUGGAAGUGUAGCAUUUAACAUACAGAAA